AUUUAACUUUGGUAGGUUUGAAAGAUCCCCAGAGUGGGGAGACCCUCACUCAAGUCUCGGGAUAAGCCGACACCCAAUAAUUCAAGAGAGACC
rnacentral:pre_miRNA from 11 species